CCUACGGGCGGCAGCAGUAGGGAAUCUUCCACAAUGGACGAAAGUCUGAUGGAGCAACGCCGCGUGUGUGAUGAAGGGUUUCGGCUCGUAAAACACUGUUGUAAGAGAAGAAUGACAUUGAGAGUAACUGUUCAGUGUGUGACGGUAUCUUACCAGAAAGGCACGGCUAAAUACGUGCCAGCAGCCGCGGUAAUACGUAUGUUCCAAGCGUUAUCCGGAUUUAUUGGGCUGAAAGCGAGCGCAGACGGUUGUUGAAGGCCGAAGUGAAAGUGCACGGGUUAACUGUGGACUAGCUUUGGAAACUGGAAAACUUGGGUGCAGUAGAGGAGAGUGGAACUCCAUGUGUAGCGGUGAAAUGCGUAGAUAUAUGGAAGAACACCAGUGGCGAAGGCGGCUCUCUGGACUGUAACUGACGUUGAGGCUCGAAAGUGUGGGGAGCAAACAGGAUUAGAUACCCCAGUAGUC
rnacentral:rRNA from 1 species